rnacentral:lncRNA from 1 species
AUUAAUCUACUUGCAUAAAGUUACAGGUAUUGCUUAUUGCAUUUUGCGAGGCAUGACAUUUAGUUCAAUAUCGAAUAUAUAUCUGUUAUAUGUUAUUGGACUAACUUGUUGCAGUGCCUCCUUGGACCUAUUGGUCGAGCUUUUCCCUUGGGUGGCCAUACCCACUGGGAACCAUGGAGUUGGUUCUCACCCCACGUUGUUUUGGGGUGUUACAGGUUUGCACACGUGAGCGGCGCGGCGGCGUAAGGCAAGGGCGUAGCUCCAUAGAUAGCGCCCUACCCAGAGACCAGAGAUAGUGGUACCCCGAGUCGGCAUAGCCUAGGGGUAGAGGGAAAUGAAAGAACAAGAUGUUUCAAAUGCGUAAUAAAUUGUAAUAACUCAGAUUGUAUGUUGGAGAAAGUGUAAUUGUGAUGUAAGCAAAUGUAUCAAUGUGAAUGCUUGUAAUAACAUAGGAUGUGUUUAUGUUGUUGAUACCUUUCCAUAUGCAAUCUGUAUGUUGAUUUCUGUUCCUGGUUGGAACAUCGUGAAUUGUAUUGAUUGCGACGCCUAGGACGUACAGGGAAAACUCUGUCCGUUCGGCGAUCUGUCGGCGUGCCCGAAUCCGACCAAAUAGGCGGGUGUCGGGGNGUGACAGCAGAAGUGCCCUAAUUUUUUUUUUUUGAAAACCUAACUCCCCAGGGUGUGCCAGAUCUGCCACAAAUACAGAAAAUCCACUGUUCACACGGACAGAGUCUCCCCUAUAUUUGCACGGCGUCGCACAAGUACAAAAUGUCCAAACAGAGUACAACCACCAUAAUGAAUAUACAACAUUCAACAUUCAUUGACCAUUCAUAUAUACAUUCAUUUCAUUACAAAUAUCUAUAAAUCCACAUCUAUCAGUUUAAAACGUUUUCUAUCCGGAAACUGGUUUUGAAAUACUAUGUUACAAAAAUCACGAGAAACCUUUUAAAACUAUUUCCCACACGAAAAUCUUUUUCUUUUUAAAACUUGCUACCAUGAGAGGUAGAAAAUUUUUUCCAAUGUUUUACAUGAAACCACGUGUUUUAAUUAACUUCACAAAACCAUGUGUAUAUAUAUCUAAGUAAACAAAACCAACUAAACCAUAUGUCUAAGAUAUGUCAACAGAAGUAAAGAGGGAAGUAACUAAACCAAACAAACCAGGUCAGAAGCUCUAUCAACCGCUACGAACAUGUCUCACAUCGCGUCUCAAUCCUCACCGCCCGCAAUACCUGAAAAAUGGUGGGGGAGGUGAGAACAUGUAAACAUGUCUCCCAUCCCAGUGGGUAUCACAAGCCGACGAAGGCGAGGAGUACUCACCGGAUCAGGAAGAGAUAAAUAAGCUCAUGAGUGUGACAUACUGGACUUAUAAAAUUAUGAAAUUAUGGUGUAUGUUAGUUUGGAGAGCCGUUAGUAUGGUUCCGGUGAAGUUCGGGAACAUUCGGGUGCUUCGGUGCGCGUAGGGUGCGAAAACGGGACCCAAAAGGCUAUGUUGGACCAUGGACUAAAUUCGGCAUUAACGUGGAUGAAAAGAGGAUUUAAAUACACUCGAAAACAUAUUGGGAGUCUCGGUCCGAUUUGAGAUGAAUCGGAGACCGACGGAGCAAAAACGAGUGAAAACGGAGAAGAAAGCUGAAAAUGCUGAAAAUUUGGCUAAGUCUGGAAAGUGCUGAAAUUAUGGACCUACGAGGUCCGGUCCCUCAAGCCAAGGACCGGUCCCCGAGUCCGAAAAUUGCACAGUUUGAGUGGCAAACUUGUAAAUUAUUGGUGGGGUGUUGGCUUAAAAGGGGCUUCAUCCCCUUCCCUCUCCCUCAGCCAUUUUUGGGCACCAACACCACCAUGUCUAGAGAGCGAAACACCUCUCCCUCUCUCUAGAUUACUCUCUCAUCUCUCUAGAUCCAUCUCCCAAAUUCGGAGGCUUGGAGGAGAAGAGCGUUAUGAACGCGUGGGAGGCCACGGUUCGGGCUCUCGUGCACCCGUUUGAGCAGCGUGCAUCCAGCUCGGCGUUCACAAAUCGGUAAGUGUUUAGGAUUUGAUUAAAUCCUUUAUGGUUGAUGUUCUAGUAGCCUCUAUAGUGUUUCUAGCAUAUUCCCACCAUGAGAUUUGGGUUAUUUAGAGAUGAUGCUAGAUCUAGGGCUCCAAAUGGGAUUUUUGUAAACCUAAGGGUUUGAUCUAAAUUAACCCUCCGUAAACCUAAUUGCUAGGUAUUCUGACGCGUUGGCGAAGUCGGUUCUGCGAUACGUCGAGCCUGUGCAAAGAUAUUGAAGAAAAGGACUGUUUGAGCUUCGUUUCUGCCUGGAGGGCUGAGGCGACGUCCAAAAAUCAUGAGGUUGGAUCUCGAGCACCGUAGUAAAUAAACGAAGACCUAUUAUUUUCGGGGCCGCGAGGCGACGCACGGUUGGUGUGCGAUUGCAAGGUCGGGCCGAGUCGGAUAGCGGGUGCCGCGGGAGACUGAUUGCAAAUGUCGACAAGCAAUCGGAGAGCGAAUCUAGGUGGGUUGUGUUUACCGAAGCGACUAGGUCGCCUGUAUGUCUAAGACGAGUGUUUACUAUUGAUGCAUGUAAUGGUAGCUAGUGGUAAAACGUAUGAAUGCAUGCGGUGAGUACUAUAUAGGCUACCAAAUAAUGCAUGAUGACAUAAUGUGAACAAUGCUAGUGGAAAGUAUAAGAUAAAUGGCAUAUGCCUGUUAACGUUAUAAGAACAUGCUAGUUGGAAUGUAUAAUGACAUGUUGGAAUGUAUACUAGAUGAAAUGCAUAUUGAUAUAAGAUAAGAAUGCCAAAAGAAUACAUGAUGAACAUGUUAUAGAAAUGUUAGAUGAAUGCAUGUGGUUAAUGCUGGGAAAAUGCAAGUUGACAUAGGGAGAAUUAUGUUAAUUAUCAUGUGCAUGUGGAUAUCUAUAUAAUAGAUCGAGUGGCAUUGAACCUAGUGUUAAUAAAUAUAGGUUGGACGCGAAUCACAUUGAACCUAGUGUUAAUAAACAUAGGUUGGACGCGAAUCACAUUGAACCGAGUGUUAAUAAACAUAGGUUGGACACGAAUGAUAUUGAACUUAGUGUUAAUAAACAUAGGUUGAGAAUGAACCUAGAGUCAAGUAAACCUAGGUGAGUGUCAUUAAACCUAGAGUCAACUGGACCUAGGAUGGAAAGGACAUUGGACCUAGAUAGGUCGAUAGCAUAGGGUUGGAGACGGACCCUUGAGAUGUGAAAAUGGAUUCCGGAAUCCCAAGACUUGUGGAACACCAAGAGUGGUGUGGGGUGUGUGUGACGAUUUCGCCGCCCGGGGCUUGAACCAUUGUUCGGCGUGUGCGAUGAUUUCGCCACCAAAUGGUUAAGCCAGCUUGUGCUUUAUACCGCCGGGCGACAUGAGCGAGCGCUUGGCGUGUGCUACGAUUUCGCCGCCGGGGGGCUCAGUUGCAUAGGGCGGGUAGCUGUUGAGCAGCCAGUGCGCGGGCUAUCCGCGGUAGAUUGACUCAAGACCGAGUCGAGUGGCAUAGUGGGUUAAGGUAAAAGUAACCUUAGGAAGGAACCGCCGAGGAGCAUAGUGUGCUCGAGAAUAAAGAAUAAAGAACGGCUAAUACUUAAGAUUAGCAAAUGGUAAAAAAAAAUGAAUAGCGGUAAAGAAUGGCUGACAAUAAGGAAUGGCCAAGAAUAAGAAGUAGUAUUAAUAGAACUCCUUGAUAGUGCAUGGUUGCAUAUUGCAUGUUGUGAGGCAUGUUAUCUGUUAGUUGCAUGAUUACAUAAUGAUAUAUAUAUAUAUAUAUAUAUAUAUAUAUAUAUAUAUAUAUAUAUAUAUAUAUAUAUAUAUAUAUAUCUGUGGAUGUAUUUGGACAAACAUGAUUGCAGUGCCUCCUUGGACCUGCUGGUCGAGCUUUUUCCUUGGGUGGCCGUACCCACUGGGAACUAUAUUUAUAUAGUUCUCACCCCCGUAUAGUUUUGGGGGUUACAGGUUCACACGCGAGCGGCGCGGCGGCGCGAGGAAAGAGCGUAGCUCCAUAGGUAGCGCCUUACCCCAAAGACCAGAGAUAGCAGUACCCCGUGUCGGCAUAGCCUAGGGGUGUAGGGGCAGGAAAGAACAAGAAGUGUAGGGGAAGGAAAGAACAAGAAUGUAUCAAACUUGUAAUAAUUUGUAAUAACUAGAUUGUAAUUUGGAAGUUGAAUGUAAAAGGAACUGUGAUGUAAAAAUGUAAGCUGGUGAAUGCUUGUAAUAACUUAGUUGUUUAUGUUUUUGAUACUUCUUUAUGCAAUCUAUACUUGUUUUCUGUUCCUGGUUGGAACAUCGUGAAUUAUAUUGAUUGCGACGCCUAGGACGUACAGGAAAAACUCUGUCCGUUCGGCAGUCUAUCGGUGUGCCCGAAUCCGACCAAAUAGGCGGGUGUCAGGGCGUGACAAU